rnacentral:rRNA from 1 species
AGGAACACCAGUGGCGAAGGCGGCUCUCUGGUCUGUAACUGACGCUGAGGCUCGAAAGGGUGGGGAGCAAACAGGAUUAGAUACCCUGGUAGUCCACGCCGUAAACGAUGAGUGCUAAGUGUUGGAGGGUUUCCGCCCUUCAGUGCUGCAGCAAACGCAUUAAGCACUCCGCCUGGGGAGUACGACCGCAAGGUUGAAACUCAAAGGAAUUGACGGGGGCCCGCACAAGCGGUGGAGCAUGUGGUUUAAUUCGAAGCAACGCGAAGAACCUUACCAGGUCUUGACAUCCUUUGACCACUCUAGAGAUAGAGCUUUCCCUUCGGGGACAAAGUGACAGGUGGUGCAUGGUUGUCGUCAGCUCGUGUCGUGAGAUGUUGGGUUAAGUCCCGCAACGAGCGCAACCCUUAUUGUUAGUUGCCAUCAUUCAGUUGGGCACUCUAGCGAGACUGCCGGUGACAAACCGGAGGAAGGUGGGGAUGACGUCAAAUCAUCAUGCCCCUUAUGACCUGGGCUACACACGUGCUACAAUGGGAAGUACAACGAGUCGCUAGGCCGCGAGGUCAUGCAAAUCUCUUAAAGCUUCUCUCAGUUCGGAUUGUAGGCUGCAACUCGCCUACAUGAAGCCGGAAUCGCUAGUAAUCGCGGAUCAGCACGCCGCGGUGAAUACGUUCCCGGGCCUUGUACACACCGCCCGUCACACCACGNGAGUUUGUAACACCCGAAGUCGGUGAGGUAACCUUUUGGAGCCAGCCGCCUAAGGUGGGAUAGAUGAUUGGGGUGAAGUCGUAACAAGGUAGCCGUAUCGGAAGGUGCGGCUGGAUCA